rnacentral:piRNA from 1 species
UGGACAUCGAAGUGCUGUCUGUGCUGG